UGAGCGCGUCCAAGUGCGUAUGCGUAGAGGGAGGCAAAUCCCCCUUUACAGAAGCAGAGACAUGAUGGGGAGUUAAAGGAGACUUUGACGAACUCAUGGAUCCCACACUGCCAAGAAAAACUUCUAGCGAGACGAAAUCCGCCCGUACCGUAAACCGACACAGGUAGGCGGGGAGAGAAUCCUAAGGUGCGCGGGAAAACCCUCGUUAAGGAACUCGGCAAAUUGCAUCCGUAACUUCGGGAGAAGGAUGACCCUGAGUAGGCGAAAGGGAGAAAUCCCCGGAACAGAAAAGGGUGGCAGAAAAGAGGCCCAAGCAACUGUUUACCAAAAACACAGGUGCCUGCGAAAGCGAAAGCUGAAGUAUAGGUGCUGACGCCUGCCCGGUGCUGGAAGGUUAAGGAGAGAGGUCAGGGAAAGCGAAGCUUUGAACUGAAGCCCCAGUGAACGGCGGCCGUAACCAUAACGGUCCUAAGGUAGCGAAAUUCCUUGUCGGGUAAGUUCCGACCCGCAUGAAAGGCGUAAUGAUUUGGGCACUGUCUCAACGAGGGGCCCGGUGAAAUUGAAAUACCUGUGAAGAUGCAGGUUACCCGCGACUGGACAGAAAGACCCCAUGGAGCUUCACUGCAGCUUGAGAUUGAAUCCCGGUGACAUAUGCACAGGAUAGGUGGGAGGCUAAGAAGUAAUGCCUUUGGGCGUUACAGAGCCGAUGUUGGGAUACCACCCUUAUGUUGCUGAGAUUCUAACACGGAGACUAACAACCUCGUGGACCAUCUCAGGCAGGCGGUUUGACUGGGGCGGUCGCCUCCUAAAAUGUAACGGAGGCGCCCAAAGGUUCCCUCAGGCCGGACAGAAACCGGCCGAAGAGUGCAAAGGCAGAAGGGAGCUUGACUGCGAGACAGACAAGUCGAGCAGAGACGAAAGUCGGGCUUAGUGAUCCGGUGGUACUGAGUGGAAAGGCCAUCGCUCAACGGAUAAAAGCUACCCUGGGGAUAACAGGCUAAUCUCUCCCAAGAGUUCAUAUCGACGGGGAGGUUUGGCACCUCGAUGUCGGCUCAUCACAUCCUGGAGCUGGAGUAGGUUCCAAGGGUUGGGCUGUUCGCCCAUUAAAGUGGUACGCGAGCUGGGUUCAAAACGUCGUGAGACAGUUUGGUUCAUAUCCAUCGCGGGCGCAAGAAGUUUGAGGGAGGCUGCUCCUAGUACGAGAGGACCGGAGUGGACGGAUCAACGGUGUACCAGUUGUCACGCCAGUGGCACGGCUGGAAAGCCGCAUCCGGAAAGGAUAAACGCUGAAAGCAUCUAAGCGUGAAGCCCGUCCCGAGAUGAGACUUCUCAUCAGCAAUGAGUAAGACCCCUUAAAGACGAUGAGGUUGAUAGGCUGUGAGUGGAAGUGGCGCAAGUCAUGGAGCGACGCAGUACUAAUAGGUCGAGGUCUUAGCU
rnacentral:rRNA from 1 species